UACGUAGGGUGCAAGCGUUGUCCGGAAUUAUUGGGCGUAAAGAGCUCGUAGGCGGUUUGUCGCGUCGGUUGUGAAAGCCCGGGGCUUAACCCUGGGUCUGCAGUCGAUACGGGCAGGCUAGAGUUCGGUAGGGGAGACUGGAAUUCCUGGUGUAGCGGUGAAAUGCGCAGAUAUCAGGAGGAACACCGGUGGCGAAGGCGGGUCUCUGGGCCGAUACUGACGCUGAGGAGCGAAAGCGUGGGGAGCAAACAGG
rnacentral:rRNA from 1 species